UCUAGUCUGGCACUGUAAGGAGACAUGAGAGGUGUAGCAUAAGUGAAGAGAUGGCAACAUCGCCGGUGAAAUACCACUACUUUCAUCGUUUCCUUACUUACUCGGUUGGGCGGAGCGCGUGCCCCGAGGGCCUCAUGCCCCGGCGGUCACGGUGUUCUAGAGCCAAGCGUGUCAGAGUGGCGAGAGGCCUCGGCCGAUCGCCGUUAAUACUCCCGCGUGAUCCGAUUCGAGGACACUGCCAGGCGGGGAGUUUGACUGGGGCGGUACAUCUGUCAAAGAAUAACGCAGGUGUCCUAAAGCCAGCUCAGCGAGGACAGAAACCUAGCGUAGAGCAAAAGGGCAAAAGCUGGCUUGAUCU
rnacentral:ncRNA from 1 species